AUUUUUUAUUUAUUUUCUACUAUUUUUAUUUGUAAAAAAAAAACAUUUUCUUCCUUUUCCUUCUGCAAUUUUUCAUCUGUCUCACUAUUAGCUGCUGAAGACUGAAGCUUUCAACUUUCUAGGAAAACACCCUUUCUUUCUAGAGAUUUUUUUUUCCCCUUCUUCUCCCUUUUUUUUCUUUUCAUAUGUUAAUAUAUCCUAAGCAAGAACUUAAAAAGAAAGAAAAGAAGAGAAAACUAAUGCUCAUUACUUGCAAUUUUGCAUUAGACUACUAGUGGUAGUAUUGUAUUCAUGUGUUAAGGUCUCUUUUCUCCAAGUCCAAGGUUUAUGUUUAUUGUUUUAUACCCUUACACAGAGAUGCUAAAUGACAGCUUCUCCAACCUUAUGAUCUUCAUUAUUGCUUAAUUGUUCACAUUUUGGUUCACAGAAGUUAAGUUUGAUCCCUGUGCUGUUGGACCCAACUUGAAGAAAAGCAAUUCCUUAGCAUCUACUCAUCUUCCUUCUCUGCCAAGUUCUCCUUCUCCACAGUUUUGGCAUUUAGUAAAAUUGGGAAUUAGGGGGCAAUAACAUUGUAGUUCCAAGCUUUCCUUUCAAUUGGCAUAACAUUCACUAAUAAAAUGUAAUUGACAUUCCUGAUACUCUUCAAAAUGGAAAUCAAGGAAGCAGAA
rnacentral:misc_RNA from 1 species